AUGUCUUCAUCCUCCGGCGCGUCCCAAUCCAACCUCAAUGGCCAAGUUACCGAGAAGCUGACGCGCACAAACUAUGUGCUAUGGCGCACGCAAGUGAUUCCCCAGCUGCGUGGCGCCGGUGUCUUCGGCUACGUCGACGGCACUCAGCCGGAGCCGGCGAGACUCCUCGUCACCACCAAGGAAGGCAAGGAGGUGUCAUCGCCCAACCCUCUCCACCCAAUCUGGGUCAGGGAGGAUCAGCAGGUUCUUGGAUACCUGCUGAACAAUCUGACACGCGAGGUUCUGCUCACGGUCACCACCGCGGGCGCGCUCUGGACGACGCUCGCCGGCAUGUUUUCCUCGCAGUCCGCCAGCCGCAUCAACAACAUGCGAACCUCCCUCAUCAACGCGCAGAAGGGCAACCUCUCCGUCGCCUCCUACUUCGCCGCCAUGCGCGGCUACGCCGACGAGCUCGCAGCCGCGGGCAAGGCGAUCCCCGACGACGAACUGGCCUCCUACAUCAUCCACGGGCUCGACGCCGACUAUCAGCCCCUCGUAUCUGCCCUAGACGCCCGCGUGACCCAGGUAACCCUUGAUGAGCUCUUUGCCAUGCUGUCAAAUUUCGAUCAACGCAUGGCAUAG
rnacentral:rRNA from 1 species